UCUUCCUCCAUCAGCCUGGCUGGCAGCAGCCUCGGACUCCGCCCGUGGAGCCCUGGGCCUGUUGACCCACCAGCUUAGGAGCACUCACCAAGCUCUGGGUCAACGUGGAGGUACCAGGCCACCAUGCUCAGUCUCAAGCUGCCCCAACUUCUUCAAGUCCACCAGGUCCCCCGGGUGUUCUGGGAAGAUGGCAUCAUGUCUGGCUACCGCCGCCCCACCAGCUCGGCUUUGGACUGUGUCCUCAGCUCCUUCCAGAUGACCAACGAGACGGUCAACAUCUGGACUCACUUCCUGCCCACCUGGUACUUCCUGUGGCGGCUCCUGGCGCUGGCGGGCGGCCCCGGCUUCCGUGCGGAGCCGUACCACUGGCCGCUGCUGGUCUUCCUGCUGCCCGCCUGCCUCUACCCCUUCGCGUCGUGCUGCGCGCACACCUUCAGCUCCAUGUCGCCCCGCGCGCGCCACAUCUGCUACUUCCUGGACUACGGCGCGCUCAGCCUCUACAGCCUGGGCUGCGCCUUCCCCUAUGCCGCCUACUCCAUGCCGGCCUCCUGGCUGCACGGCCGCCUGCACCAGUUCUUUGUGCCUGCCGCCGCACUCAACUCCUUCCUGUGCACCGGCCUCUCCUGCUACUCCCGCACAGCGAUGGUGACCGGCUUUUUCCUCCCGCCUCCCAGUUUCCUGGAGCUGGAAAGCCCUGGGCUCAGUAAGGUCCUCCGCACAGGAGCCUUCGCCUAUCCCUUCCUGUUCGACAACCUCCCA
rnacentral:sRNA from 1 species